UUAACAGCUCUUCUACCCUCCCUUUUUUCUCUUCUCCUGUCGCCUCUUCCUUUUUCGGCGACAGACAACGGCUCCGGCGAGACUCCCCACCACGUGCUGGUGGCAGAUACCCCUCUCUUCCUCUCUUUCUCCCGUUCCUCCUCCCCUCUCCUUCUUCUCCCUUUUUCUCUCUCCCCGGCGAUCUCCAGCAGAAGCACCCUACGACCAGCAGCAGACUACCGGUAGCAACAGCAGUACCCAGCAACCUGCAGAGACAACAGAAGCAGCAGCAAGAACAGCACAGCGGCAGCAAACAAUUUCCAGCAAAUUACGAGACGGAUCUCAACAGAUCCGUCCGGGUACAUUCUCUUUAAAUUAUUAUCUCGCCUUUUAGUAUUUUUAUUCUUCUCUUUUGCCUACAGUUUGAUUUCAAUUUUCAUGAAAAAUUCAUGUAUAUUUAUGUGAAAAUCGAUGUACAUCUUGCUUAAAGUAUGUUAAUUUUCUGAAGUUUAUUCAUUAUUAUUAGUUUAAGUAUUAUUCAGUCUGACAUCAAUUUGAAUAUCUUGUUAAAACUUCAUUGCUCUCCCGGAAUGUGUUCAUAUGAUUAGAUGUUAACUUGCUUUGAAUUCUAUUAUUGUUGAAGCUUUCAUGGAUCGUCAUCAAAAGUUUUCUCUUACUAAUCUUAGACAUCCUUUGUAUUGUUCGAUUUGGUGCCUUCAUUGAUGAUAAUAUUUGUUAACUGAUUACGAGAUAAUUUGUCAAGUUUUAUUGAUAAGUGAUUUUGUUAAGUGUGGUAGCCUUGGGAUAAUUUUACCGUUAUUUCUUGAAUAUUUCUUUGCUUCCCUUGAUUUUAGUAUCUAUUGUUAAUGAACCCUUUUUUUCCAUAAAUAAACUGAUAGAUUAUUACUCGGUGUGUAUUUGGUAAUGAUUUAAUUAAUUUAGGAAUUAAAAAAAAUAUAUAUAUUAAUAGUCAAAUUAGUUCACCAAGUUGGUUCUUCUUUAUUUAAAGGAAAAUAAUAUUACUCUUCUUAAUCUUAUUUUACUUGUUUAUAUUUGGUAAUGAAAUAUUACUAUAGUUCUAAUUUUGGCUCUUUUAAAAAAAGGAAAAUUAUAAUUGGUCUCUUCUUUCAUUAAUAUUUGACUUGAUUAAUUAUUACUUGUUUAUUUAUGGCAAUUUUAAUUGUUUCCUUGUCAUAUUUAGUUGCUCAUAUAUUUGGUAAUAAUAAGUUAAUAAUUAUUUUCUGAUUUGACUUCCCUUCUGAAUAAAGAAAAUAAUUUUAAUUGAUUCCUUUUUCCUUAUUUAAAAAAUUGACACAUCUCUUACUUGUUUCUAUGUUUGAUAAAAAAAAUUUAAAAUCUGAUUUUUGGCUCUUCAUUAUUUAAGGAAAAAUAUAUUGUUCUUCCUUAUUUGUUCUUACUUGCUUAUAAAAAUAAUUAAAAUAAUUUGGCUGAUUUGAAUCUCCUUUGGAGUAAGGAAAUACUAUAUUUAUUUAAUUCCUUAAAAUAUUUUUUCCUUAUGUGUUCUCCCCUCUUUGCUAUAUAAAUAAGACCCCCUGCCUUCAUUAUUUCACACUCUCACAUCUUGAUAUUCACUCACUUUCAUCACAAGUGCUCACAUUACUCUUCACUCACACUCUCUCAUUGCUCACUCACCCUCAUGCUUAGGCUCAUACUUUAACACUUUGACAAUUAGAAAAAGGUUCUCUACUCUUAGUAGAAAGAAAGAUUCUUGCAUACUUUAAGAUUUUUUUUGUUGUGUUGCUGUCGUGAAUUGAAAAUUUACUAAAACUCUUCAUUGCCGAUAAACUUUUUUGCGUAAUUGGUUAGCCCUUUUUAUUGGUUUAAAUUUAAUUUUUGCAUAAUUCUAAAUAUUUGUGUGUUGGAAAUCGAAACAACAAGGAAGCAACCAAGUUAGUUUCAUCAUCCUUUUACGUGUGAUAAUAUAAUUAUGAUUAUUCUUUAUCUCUGUUUGUAUGUUAUUUACAUAUAUAUGAGAGUAAUUGGUUAUUAUGAACAUUUGAUGUUACGAUUAUUGUUUUCAUCGUAUAUGUGUUACAUCCUUUCUAACAGGUUUGAACUUUGAGUUCAAGAGUCGACUAGAAGAAAAUUUCGGACGAAACGAUUUAUUUUAAUGUGUAUACUUGUUCAUAUUUUGUAAUAUUUAUAAAACUCACUAACUAUAUAUAUGAAAUAUAUUGGGGAUCGACUAAAGGGAGGGGGAAUUAUAUGUUAAUCUAUCUUUUAUCUUGCAAA